UGGAGAAGGGGUGGCUAGGGAAGGUCUUGCUGUGCUGAACAGAUUACUCAUUGCAUAGGGGCCUGCUAGUUUGCAGGAAGGCAGGGACUCAUUGGUGGAUUGUUCUAGGCUUGGAGCCUUACUGCAGGUCCCAUGUUAUGAGGCUGGCUGGCUGCUGCUGCUGCUUUUGGACCUUGUUCCCCUCCAUUCCCAGUGAAACAGACCUUUCCUGAAGUGCUGCUAUAUCCGUCACCUCUGAGGAAAGGAUGUCACAACUACAAAGAAGAGAAAUACCAGCGUUUUCAAGGGGACACAACUUAUCGAAAAUAAAAAGUUCUAUGGCACACAGACAUCCAGUUACUGGGGGAUUCCUGCCUGCCUAGGACUGCACUGAAGCAUGUGGUGGUUCUUUGAGCUGCAGUCUGCUGGCUCCCCUGGCUCUCCUGAGGUAUGUGUGGGGUUCUGUUGUUGGCAUUUGUCUGCUCCACCACACUGGGGCUCAGAAUCUCUGCAUGGUUUGCUGAUGUGGGGCUUGCUGCUGGCGUGCUGGGAUGCUCUGUCCUGGAAUGUGGUCCCCUUUUACUCAAGUGAAAUGGACAUUUCUUGGCGAUUCUUCAAGUUUCCUGGGAUAAAAGACUGCUCUACCCCAUCUUUCUGCUGGUUCCACUGUUCAAGGAUUUUUCCUGGAGUGCUAUUUUCUGGUUUUUCAAAGGACAAUAUGGGAGAGUGACUGUAAUCCACCAUCUUGGCUCAUGGAAUUAGAAUUGGACGUGUUUGAAAUGACUGAACAAUAUCAUGUAAGUGUAUGUAUACACAGAAAUAUAUAUGGCAUGGAAGUGACUGUAGUAAAGAUAGAUUAUGAAGGACAAGUCAAGAAGCUGCUAGAAUUAAUGGACACCUCUCAGCUUCUUGCAAGUAACAUAUUGGUAUUAUUUUAUAACAUAUUCAUGCCUCUUUUCAUUUGCUUUUCAUUGAUCAGUAAUUUUGAUUCAUUAAUGUGGGUAUGCCAUGAUUUUCUUUUAGGGAGAAACUUAGGAUAAAAAGCACUACAUAAUUUACCAAACACUAUUCAUUUCCCCUAUAUUCCUCUUACUCAGUUCUGGGUCUAGUCAUUCUACAUGUUCAUCUAUAUUCCAUCCAAAAAGUACAUAUAGAUAGGUCAAAUCUUUGAACUUUACAUCCAAAUUUAUAUCAUAAUCUGGACAAUAGGCCUCCUUCAUCAACUUAAGGUUUUUUUUUUAAAUGUGGAUAAUUAAGCCAAACUCUUUUGAGUAAUUGUGCAUCUCAUUUAGGACUAUCAGCAAUAUUCUGUAGCUUGGUACAGUUAACUUCAUGACAUAGACAGAAACAUCUGGAGAACAUAACCAAUGAUAUGGAGUAUCUCUUGCAUGUCACCUCUGCUAGAUCUCCUCAACAACAGUGCCAAACAUAUUUCUUAGUUACGUGUUUCCCACUAUUAUACCUUACUUGAUAUUAAUUAUCAAAGGAAAGAUGUCAUGAAACAAAAUCUCAGUGGAGAAC